GUCGGGCCGGGCCCGGCCGCUUCCGCGAGCGCCCUGCAGACUGAGGGAGAGAGAGAGAAAGAGGAGGGGAGGAGGAGGAGGAGGAUUCAGGGAAUAGGAGCUGGGGAGCCCUUCUGCGCCACAGUGAUAUCAGUAUCAAGAUAAAAGUUUGGAAUGGGAGAAAAAUUCUCAAAGCCUGAAAGAAAAUCUGAGAUGCUUGGAGUGUAAAGAUCCCGUGGUCACAUAAAUCCGGAAAGCACUGAAUACUUUGUUUCCCAUAAGAGAAUCCCAUUAUAUGUUGAUGUAUUAAAAGACCUGAGAACCUGGUGUAGUUACUUUUGGUGACGCUGUCCAGUUCCCACAAUGUAUCAUUCCUUAUCUGAAACUAGACAUCCUCUGCAGCCAGAAGAACAAGAAGUAGGCAUUGACCCCUUGUCCAGUUACUCUAACAAGUCUGCAGGAAAGAAUGGGAAGAACUAUUUGUAAACAACAAUUACUUGGCAACAAUAAGGCAGAAGGGGAUUAAUGGGCAGCUGAGAAGCAGCAGGUUCCGCAGCAUUUGCUGGAAG
rnacentral:sRNA from 1 species